GUCCCGUCUCACAUAGCCUCAACCUGUGCCUCCUGAGCCCCUCCCUUGGGAGACAUUGUCUCUGGACUCUUGAUCUGGGAGCCCCCUUCGCUCCUGCUCUGCUUUCCCCUUCUCGCAGAGCAGCUUGGGAGUGCGCCCCGUCCCUAAAAGAGUGUCCAUGCUUAGACGCCAGCCACUGCUACUGCUGCCAGCAUCAAAUAUUCAUUCGCCACCAUCAGGUUCUGUCAGCAUUCGCCUCCCCAAGGAGUAAAGUAACCUGAGAAACCUCAUGGCUUCAGCGGAUCAGCUCCUUUCCAACACAUCAGGAAGGGUCUACCAUAAACUUAGGUCAGCACUAAAGUCUUCUGAUACGUUAGGAGAGAACCUUCAGCAUCAAAAGGUA